UGGCUGCUAGCAUAGCAUCGAGGCCUCCACUGUGAAACACUCUGUCAGGCUUAAAAAUGUCUUACAGGAAGUCACCGUAACCACGCAAAGAUGAGAGGACCGACACAAAAAUAUUCCAUGCACGUUAGCUUAGCAUUGAGCAUCACACACUUUAGUUUACAGCCUGUUAGCUUAGUAAGCGAAUGAACCCUGACUGCAGCUUCAAAGCUACUGCAAAUGCAGAUAUUUGAACCUUGAACAGUGAUCCGUGAAGGUGCUGCGUCACACAUCAGCUCUGACCGGGCAGGAAGGCGGUCAGGGUUUUCGGAGAGCCAGAGCCAGAGUCCGAAGGGCUUCAUCAGGGUUGUCUGCGGUAGUCAGUCAUUGGAAAGGGCCAAACGGAGGAGCCAGUCAGGGAUCUCAGGAUGUGGUCAUGGAAGAUGGGUCGUUCCACAUGGCCGCCACGUCUCUGAACCUGAAGGGGAUCAUUGGAAAUCCAUACUGUACCUCAAGCAUCACCACACAUAUCUGUUUGACACACUGGAUGAUGGCUUCGGGGGCCCCUGAGAUCGUCACUGCUCUCUCGGUGGAGUUGGGGAGCAU